rnacentral:rRNA from 1 species
UACAGAGGGUGCGAGCGUUAAUCGGAAUUACUGGGCGUAAAGCGCGCGUAGGCGGCUUUGCAAGUCGGGUGUGAAAUCCCCAGGCUUAACCUGGGAACUGCAUUCGAGACUGCAUUGCUAGAGUAUGGGAGAGGGAAGUGGAAUUUCCGGUGUAGCGGUGAAAUUCGUAGAUAUUGGGAAGAACACCGGUGGCGAAGGCGGCCAUCUGGACCGCAACUGACGCUGAGGCGCGAAAGCGUGGGGAGCAAACAGG